UACGGGGGGUGCAAGCGUUAUUCGGAAUUAUUGGGCGUAAAGGGCGCUUAGGCGGUUGAAUAAGUCAGAUGUGAAAGCCCUUGGCUUAACCAAGGAAGUGCAUUUGAUACUAUUUGACUUGAGUAUGGGAGAGGGAAGUGGAAUUCCUGGUGUAGAGGUGAAAUUCGUAGAUAUCGGGAGGAACACCGGUGGCGAAAGAGACUUCCUGGACCAAUACUGACGCUGAGGCGCGAAGGCGUGGGGAGCAAACAGG
rnacentral:rRNA from 1 species